rnacentral:lncRNA from 1 species
GGCGGGGGGUGGGGUGGGAAGAGUGUAGCAGUGAGGACGACGAGAGGUCACUCUCGUCGCCAUUUUGUUUUUGGUGGUUUUUGUCUGGCUUCUUUACCGCAACCUGUUUUAUCAGCAAAGUCUUUAUAACCUGUAUUUUGUGCUGACCUCCUAUCUCAUCCUGUGACUUAGAAUGCCUUAACAACUGUCUGGAAUGCAGCCCGAUAUUUCAUGAUUCUGAAGAAGAAUUGGAGGUGAGACUUGAGAAAAUGGAGAAAAAGAUAUGCUUUGGAUUUUCUUGAAGACUAGAAGCUUUCUUAACCAUCCACCACCUUGUUGACUGGUUAUUAUUCUCUCUACCUUCUGUGAAACAAACUGAUGGAUACUAAUGGCACAAUUACACUUAUAGCUAGUCAGUUGCAUAGUUUAUGCACAUAGUUCUGCUUCCAGUGUUUAGUAAUGAGUUAAACAUUUUGGCUAUAUUUGUCUCUGAAGCUAUAAUUUCAAUUAAUCAUUAUGUAUAGCAAUAAUAACAAGUAAAACAAAAAGAAGAAUUUUUUGUUUCUAUGGUAAUUAUGUUGGGUGCUUUGGAUCCUCCCAAUAAAGUUGACUUCCUAAAAUAAUUACACUUGAAUUAGGUAUAGAGAAGCUAAUUGUAACAAAUUGAAAGUUACUGUAAAUCUUCUAAUCGUAGUUCUCUGCAAGUGUACUUAAGUUAUUGCUCCACUUGAAAUAAAUGAAAACUGGAAAUCUGAGGUGAUGAAUUAUGGGUCCCUUUUAUGUAAGAAAGAUGACAAGGAAAUCUAAUCUGCUGAGUUAUACUAAAAUAAAAUACCUUGGCCUGGGAUCAAAUAUAGGUGAAAGAAUUAACAUUUAUGUUUUUUAAUUAAGAUAAAAUGUACAAGUUUUAUGUACAUAUUUUAUGAUUUCCUGAUAUAACAAAAAGUGUUGAUAAAAGCACCCAAUACUGAUUCUAAUGACAUUUGAUUAGCAUUAAAGAGUUGCUAUUAUUA